rnacentral:rRNA from 1 species
UACGUAGGGGGCGAGCGUUGUCCGGAAUUACUGGGCGUAAAGGGCACGCAGGCUGUGCUUCAAGUCAGCUGUAAAAGGAUGCGGCUUAACCGUGUUAUGCAGUUGAGACUGAGGUGCUGGAGUGCCGGAGAGGCAAGUGGAAUUCCCAGUGUAGCGGUGAAAUGCGUAGAUAUUGGGAAGAACAUCGGUGGCGAAGGCGACUUGCUGGACGGUAACUGACGCUGAGGUGCGAAAGCCAGGGUAGCGAACGGG